UGGCGGCCUGACCGGCUGCUGCAGCAGGCGACCACCUCCCCACGCCGGCAGCAUCCCUGGACCUGCUGCUCCGGACGCCGCACUCUCUCCGUCCUGCUUCUCCACCUCCCACUUCUCGCGCUGCCUAUAGAAACCUGGGGUUUCUGGCUGGGCAUCGACAAUGGCGGCGGAUGCACCCCUGGAGUCAGCCUUUUCCACUUGUCUCUCGUGCCCAAGUAGACCUGUGGUGACCUUGCUUGGCAGCGAAUGAGGGGCGCUAAUGGCGUCGCCAGAGAGGACACCCCUCUCCUGUCCUCGCGUCACAGCAUCAACUAUGGCGAUGAGAGAGCUCCUUUUGUACUCUCAUAAUGGAACCCCAUGAUGGAGAGGCUGAUUAGUUGCCAACACGACCUCCUCUACCUCCUAGCGUGGUGCCCAUCAAAGUUGUAGAUGGUGCUAAGGAAUCACCACCAAGCAAAAAGCAUAUGAGGCUCCCAAUAGCCAUGACUGGAUUGGGAAACAAAGGCCAGCCCAUCCAACUCAUCGCCAAUCACUUCAAAGUCUCCAUGAAAAGUUCAGAUGAAUUUUUCCACUACU